GGGGCUCAUGAAGUCACUGAGGACCAAUGGGGAAGGCGGAAUGGGGACUGGGGCGGGGCUUGGCUCCGGCAGCCAGCUAGGAUUGGCCCACCACGGAUCUCCCUGCUGCCUUACAAGGCGGUGCGAAGCGAGCUAUUUUUAGAGGGCUAUAUAAGGGGGCUGAGGCGGCCGCCGCGCAGCCUGGGAGUGCUUGCGCUGGGACGGGGAGGGUCGCGCCACACUCGCGGCGGCUCCCGGGACGCCGAGGCCACCCUGCUCAGGCCGCAGGCCGGCCUCCGACCCUCGCUUCGGUGCCUGAUUGACUCCCUGGCGUCCGGAGUCUGUGCUCGGAGGGAAAGGGAUCGCUGUCGCCGUUCUGGCUCUGACGCGACCGGUCAGGAUGUGAAAGUCCAGAACGCAGGGUUGCACAGCUGAAGCGCCAGAGGAGGAAGGGGUACACAAUAGCUAAUAGAACAAAGGCGAGAGGCGGCGAGAAGCAGCCUGCGCAAGCCCCGCCCCGCGAA